rfam:Schistosoma mansoni strain Puerto Rico chromosome 1, complete genome
AUCUAGCUGACGAGUCUCAACUAGGACGAAAUGCGCGUCCUGUAU